rnacentral:rRNA from 1 species
UACGAAGGGGGCUAGCGUUGCUCGGAAUGACUGGGCGUAAAGCGUGCGCAGGCGGUGAUGUAAGACAGGUGUGAAAUCCCCGGGCUUAACCUGGGAACUGCAUUUGUGACUGCAUCGCUGGAGUGCGGCAGAGGGGGAUGGAAUUCCGCGUGUAGCAGUGAAAUGCGUAGAUAUGCGGAGGAACACCGAUGGCGAAGGCAAUCCCCUGGGCCUGCACUGACGCUCAUGCACGAAAGCGUGGGGAGCAAACAGG